GAUGAACGCUGGCGGCGUGCCUAAUACAUGCAAGUCGAGCGAACAGACGAGGAGCUUGCUCCUCUGACGUUAGCGGCGGACGGGUGAGUAACACGUGGAUAACCUACCUAUAAGACUGGGAUAACUUCGGGAAACCGGAGCUAAUACCGGAUAAUAUAUUGAACCGCAUGGUUCAAUAGUGAAAGACGGUUUUGCUGUCACUUAUAGAUGGAUCCGCGCCGCAUUAGCUAGUUGGUAAGGUAACGGCUUACCAAGGCAACGAUGCGUAGCCGACCUGAGAGGGUGAUAGGCGACACUGGAACUGAGACACGGUCCAGACUCCUACGGGAGGCAGCAGUAGGGAAUCGUCCGCAAUGGGCGAAAGCUUGACGGAGCAACGCCGCGUGAGUGAUGAAGGUCUUCGGAUCGUAAAACUCUGUUAUUAGGGAAGAACAAAUGUGUAAGUAACUAUGCACGUCUUGACGGUACCUAAUCAGAAAGCCACGGCUAACUACGUG
rnacentral:rRNA from 1 species